rnacentral:rRNA from 1 species
ACGUAGGGUGCGAGCGUUAAUCGGAAUUACUGGGCGUAAAGCGUGCGCAGGCGGUGCUGUAAGACCGAUGUGAAAUCCCCGGGCUUAACCUGGGAACUGCAUUGGUGACUGCAGCGCUGGAGUAUGGCAGAGGGGGGUGGAAUUCCGCGUGUAGCAGUGAAAUGCGUAGAUAUGCGGAGGAACACCGAUGGCGAAGGCAAUCCCCUGGGCCUGUACAGACGCUCAUGCACGAAAGCGUGGGGAGCAAACAGGA